AUUGCAUUAGUUAUGCAAGUGAAUUUUUGUUUUGGACACUCGAAAGCCGGUUUCAGGUUCGGUUUAGUUUUUUUGAAGGGAGUUUUAAUGUAUGCAAUAUAUGCAUAUAAAGAAACCUUAUUUGUACAUCUUCUAGUUUUUGAAGAUUUUAGGAGGGGUAAAAAUAUUUCGUAAUUUAGCUACUACAACUAAGAGCUACCAUAAAACCAAAUUAGAACCAUAACCCCAAAAGUUGAAAUAUUUCAAUGCAGUGAGCUGAAUUAAUCAGUAGAUGGCUAAAACAGGCUAUUUCAAUGCUGCUCUUUAAUCAUCGCUUAGUCGUAACACAAAAUAGUGAAAAUUUCAGCCGAACAACAACUAAAAUUGGAUUAGUCAUAGCUCCGUUCGUCAAAGGCAGGCUGCGGUUAGGACCGAAGUAAGGAGUUGCUACAAAUACAACACUCUUAUGUGGGUAAAGCUGAUAUUUGACGGAGGCACAGCUUUUUACUGCAAACAAUCUAAGCGCUUUGCACCCGUUUUAUGUCUGUCAAAGUCGUCGUACUAAUCGUUCUGCAUUGUCGCCCAUUGAAAGGACAUGAAUAAAUUUAUAACAUGAAGCAAAAAAGGAAAAUUAUUAAAAAUGCAAAUAAAAGCGCUAAUAGCGAAUGAAUUGAAAAGCAACUAAACACACUCUGCUUACCGAAAAGGUCAUAUUAUGAACCCUAACGUGCGUCUGUGAGACUUCAGCAUUCAUCAUCAUCUACUAAUGCAGCCGUCAGCAAAAUAAGUAAGCAUGAUUUGCCAAAAACAAAUACAACAAGUACCGAGCAAAUACACUAUUUCACGAAGCAGACAGUCUAGCAAACAGACCAACAAACAAAUUUUAAGAAAGUACCUGAGAAACUCAGUAGCGCCGAUAGUAAAAGGAUACGUAUAAAAAAUUCAUCGCGGGUAAGACGAGAAAAUACAACUCCCAAGCAAGAAGUUGUUGUUGUUGUUUCUUUACUUUUGCGUGAAGUCAACUUCGAAUGAUGGACCACAUAAAUUUGCGAGCAAAGCAGAGACAACAUAAGGAAAUAGCAAAGGCGGAAUGCGAUAAAAAAAGUCAUAAUCAAACGCUACAUACCAAGAAUGCACGCGUAUUUAUUUUUGAAUGGUGGAGCUUUGAAUACUGCUGAAUCAGCAAAAAAAAAGGGUAUGUAGCAGAGAAGACACCACAAUAAUACAAUACAAAAGUCAAAGAAGUGCAGAAGCCGCGUCGGACGAGAAUAUUUUAUUUAAAAAAAUAUGAAAGAGGCAAAACUCAAGUAUUUUAUUCACUAAAAAACUUCGAAAGACGUAAGCAAUAUUCAGCAUACGUGAGCUUGUUAUUGUGUUCCAUUUGUUCGGUGAUUAUGCUUAUAAAGCUCAUUUUGGAUCGUACCUAGCGGGCAUAGUAUUGGCUCCGCUUCGGACUCGUCUAAAGAGGCUCUUAGCUUUGCCAACUUAUCCACCUACUCGUUGCCGAAAAUGUUCUCUGACCGGGACCAUAUUAUGAACAAGUGAACCUGGCAUGUCAGUGAGCUUUGGAAUUAAUCUUUGGUGUCG